rnacentral:rRNA from 1 species
CUACGUGCCAGCAGCCGCGGUAAUACGUAGGUGGCAAGCGUUAUCCGGAUUUAUUGGGUGUAAAGGGCGUGUAGGCGGGACUGCAAGUCAGGUGUGAAAACCACGGGCUCAACCUGUGGCCUGCAUUUGAAACUGUAGUUCUUGAGUGCUGGAGAGGCAAUCGGAAUUCCGUGUGUAGCGGUGAAAUGCGUAGAUAUACGGAGGAACACCAGUGGCGAAGGCGGAUUGCUGGACAGUAACUGACGCUGAGGCGCGAAAGCGUGGGGAGCA